rnacentral:lncRNA from 1 species
UAUAUCUAUGUUCAAUCUCUUUGUGCCCAUGUUGUGAUGUGGGUGAAGGCUCUUGCAAUCAUCGUUCCAAAGGCCACUAGCUUGUAUGACAUGGAAUCAGCCAACCACACUAGGAUUACAACUGGGCUUUCCCUUUAUUUGUUAGCUACUCUCCUCCCUCUGUUCGAACAAGUAUAUCCAGAAAGUGGAACUGGUCUGUGGGGUCAUUGUUUUACUCUAGUAGACAGACCAAGGGUAACAUCUCUAAGGGAGUGCUGUAUAUCUUCUGUACAGUCCUUGUUUUCCCAUAUAAUACAAACAUCAUCGACUUAUCAUGUAUAUAAUUUGAGGUGGGG